CCUACGGGAGGCAGCAGUGGGGAAUAUUGGACAAUGGAGGCAACUCUGAUCCAGCAAUGCCGCGUGUGUGAUGAAGGCCUUAGGGUUGUAAAGCACUUUCAACGGUGAAGAUGAUGACGGUAGCCGUAGAAGAAGCCCCGGCUAACUUCGUGCCAGCAGCCGCGGUAAUACGAAGGGGGCGAGCGUUAUUCGGAAUUAUUGGGCGUAAAGGGCUCGCAGGCUGCUUGAACAGUUAGACGUGAAAUCCCCGGGCUCAACCUGGGAACUGCGUUUAAUACUAGCAAGCUAGAGUAAUAGAGAGGAAAGUGGAAUUCCCAGUGUAGAGGUGAAAUUCGUAGAUAUUGGGAGGAACACCAGUGGCGAAAGCGGCUUUCUGGCUAUUUACUGACGCUGAGGAGCGAAAGCGUGGGGAGCAAACAGGAUUAGAUACCCUGGUAG
rnacentral:rRNA from 1 species